rnacentral:rRNA from 1 species
GACGAACGCUGGCGGCGUGCUUAACACAUGCAAGUCGAACGGAAAGGCCCUGCUUGCGGGGUGCUCGCGUGGCGAAAGGGGGAGUAACACGUGGGUGAUAUGCCCUGCACUUCGGGGUAAGCCUUGGGGACUGGGGCGAAUACCCGGGAUGGGCCCUCUUUCGUGUGAGGGUGGGAAGGUUUUUUCGGUGUGGGGUGAGCGUGCGGCCUAUCAGGUUGUUGGUGGGGUGAUGGGCUACCAAGGGGGUGACGGGUAGGCGGCCUGGGAGGGUGGACGGCCCACAUGGGGCCUGGAUUAGGGCCAGACUCCUACGGGGGGGAGGAGGGGGGAAAUUUGGCCAAUGGGGGGGAGCCUGAUGCAGCGACGCCGCGGUGGGGAUGACGGGCUUUGGGUUGUAAACCCCCUUCGCUAGGGACGAAGCUUUUUGUGACGGUACCUAGAUAAGAAGCACCGGCUAACUACGUG